GGAGAAGUUUGAUAGCUCAGUGGUAGAGUGCAUGAUUUGUGUGUAUGACGUUCAGGGUUCAAAUCCCAGCUGCUCCC